AAGUCGUAACAAGGUUUCAGUAGGUGAACCUGCGGAAGGAUCAUUAACACGUAUCCAAACGUUAAAACCCCCCCCGUGAACCUUCAUCCUGCUCUUGUAACCCGCGUAGUUCGCAAUCUCUGAUAAAUCAUAGCCCGGAAAGUUGUAGUGAUUCAGAGACCUCUGGCUGCGUGCGAACAUUGGAACAGUUACAAUCGAGUUUAAUGUGAAGCUCAGUGUAAUACAUUGGGUAAAAAAACCGAACAACUGUUAACAAUGGAUAUCUUGGUUCUC
rnacentral:misc_RNA from 1 species